rnacentral:sRNA from 1 species
UUUUCGGAAGUCUUUUGUGUAUCUUCUUUAUCCUUGUAAAUUAUAUCCCUA